rnacentral:rRNA from 1 species
GACGAACGCUGGCGGCGUGCCUAAUACAUGCAAGUCGAGCGAACAGACGAGGAGCUUGCUCCUCUGACGUUAGCGGCGGACGGGUGAGUAACACGUGGAUAACCUACCUAUAAGACUGGGAUAACUUCGGGAAACCGGAGCUAAUACCGGAUAAUAUAUUGAACCGCAUGGUUCAAUAGUGAAAGACGGUUUUGCUGUCUCUUAUAGAUGGAUCCGCGCCGCAUUAGCUAGUUGGUAAGGUAACGGCUUACCAAGGCAACGAUGCGUAGCCGACCUGAUAGGGGGGUCGGCCACCCUGGAACUGAGACGCGGUCCAUACUCCUGCGGGAGGGAGCAGUCUGGAAUCUUCCGCAAUGGUCGAAAGCCUGACGGAGCGACGCCGCGUGAGUGAUGAAGGUCUUCGGAUCGUAAAACUCUGUUAUUAGUUAAAAACAAAUGUGUAAUUAACUGUGCACGUCUUGACGGUACCUAAUCAGAAAGCCCCGGCUAACUACGUG